ACCCCUACGGGAGGCAGCAGUGGGGAAUAUUGGGCAAUGGGCGCAAGCCUGACCCAGCAACGCCGCGUGAAGGAAGAAGGCUUUCGGGUUGUAAACUUCUUUUCUGAGGGACGAAGAAAGUGACGGUACCUCAGGAAUAAGCCACGGCUAACUACGUGCCAGCAGCCGCGGUAAUACGUAGGUGGCAAGCGUUAUCCGGAUUUAUUGGGUGUAAAGGGCGUGUAGGCGGGAAUGCAAGUCAGAUGUGAAAACUAUGGGCUCAACCCAUAGCCUGCAUUUGAAACUGUAUUUCUU
rnacentral:rRNA from 1 species